GCAAGACGCCCCGGGAGCUCGGGUGAACCGGGCUGAGAGGGUGGCUCAGGAUUCCGCCACCGACCGGCACCGACCUGAUCUGGGUAAUGCCAGCGAAGGGAGGCCAUCCACUGAUCCG
rnacentral:ncRNA from 2 species